GCUGACAUAAGUAACGAUAAUGCGGGUGAAAAACCCGCACGCCGGAAGACCAAGGGUUCCUGUCCAACGUUAAUCGGGGCAGGGUGAGUCGACCCCUAAAGGCGAGGCUGAAAGCGUAGUCGGAUGGGAAACGGGUUAAUAUUCCCGUACUGGUGGUAACUGCGAUGGGGGAACGGAGAAGGCUAGGUUGUCCGGGCGACGGUCGUCCCGGUUCAAGCAUGUAGGCAGAGUGAUUAGGCAAAUCCGGUCACUUAAUGCUGAGGUGUGAUGACGAACCACUAAGGUGGUGAAGCAAUUGAUGCCCUGCUUCCAGGAAAAGCCUCUAAGCUUCAGGUUAUCAACAAUCGUACCCCAAACCGACACAGGUGGUCAGGUAGAGAAUACUCAGGCGCUUGAGAGA
rnacentral:rRNA from 1 species